rnacentral:rRNA from 1 species
UACAGAGGGGGCAAGCGUUGUUCGGAAUUACUGGGCGUAAAGGGCGCGUAGGCGGCCUGCUAAGUCGAACGUGAAAUCCCCGGGCUCAACCCGGGAACUGCGUCCGAUACUGGCAGGCUUGAAUUCGGGAGAGGGGUGCGGAAUUCCAGGUGUAGCGGUGAAAUGCGCAGAUAUCAGGAGGAACACCGAUGGCGAAGGCAGGUCUCUGGGCAUUAACUGACGCUGAGGAGCGAAAGCAUGGGGAGCGAACAGG